rnacentral:rRNA from 1 species
GACGAGCCACCCGAACGUUAUUCGGAAUUACUGGGCUUAAAGGGGGCGUAGGCGGUGUAGCAAGUCGGGAGUGAAAUACCCCAGCUUAACUGAGGAAUUGCUUUCGAUACUGCUGCGCUUGAGUGAGACAGAGGUAAGCGGAACUUAGGGUGGAGCGGUGAAAUGCGUUGAUAUCCUAAGGAACACCGGUGGCGAAGGCGGCUUACUGGGUCUCAACUGACGCUGAGGCACGAAAGCUAGGGUAGCAAACGGG